rnacentral:rRNA from 1 species
GGUUAAGCGAAUAAGCGUACACGGUGGAUGCCUAGGCAAUCAGAGGCGAUGAAGGACGUGCUAAUCUGCGAAAAGCGUCGGUAAGGUGAUAUGAACCGUUAUACCCGACGAUAUCCGAAUGGGGAAACCCAGUAUCCAAUGGAUACUAUCAUUAACUGAAUCCAUAGGUUAAUGAGGCGAACCGGGAGAACUGAAACAUCUCAGUACCCCGAGGAAAAGAAAUCAACCGAGAUUCCCCUAGUAGCGGCGAGCGAACGGGGAGCAGCCCAGAGUCUUAAUCAAUAGCAGUGUCAGGAGAACGGUCUGGAAAGUCCGGCAGUAAAGGGUGAUAGCCCCGUAUCUGAAGAUGCUGUUAUUGUGAACUCGACGAGUAGGGCGGGACACGUGUUAUCCUGUCUGAAUAUGGGGGGACCAUCCUCCAAGGCUAAAUACUCCUGAUUGACCGAUAGUGAACCAGUACCGUGAGGGAAAGGCGAAAAGAACCCCGGCGAGGGGAGUGAAAAAGAACCUGAAACCGUGUACGUACAAGCAGUAGGAGCCUCUUUAUGGGGUGACUGCGUACCUUUUGUAUAAUGGGUCAGCGACUUAUAUUCUGUAGCAAGGUUAACCGCAUAGGGGAGCCGUAGGGAAACCGAGUCUUAACUGGGCGAAUGAGUUGCAGGGUAUAGACCCGAAACCCGGUGAUCUAUCCAUGGGCAGGUUGAAGGUUGGGUAACACUAACUGGAGGACCGAACCGACUAAUGUUGAAAAAUUAGCGGAUGACUUGUGGAUGGGGGUGAAAGGCCAAUCAAACCGGGAGAUAGCUGGUUCUCCCCGAAAGCUAUUUAGGUAGCGCCUCGUGAACUCAUCUUCGGGGGUAGAGCACUGUUUCGACUAGGGGGUCAUCCCGACUUACCAACUCGAUGCAAACUGCGAAUACCGAAGAAUGUUAUCACGGGAGACACACGGCGGGUGCUAACGUCCGUCGUGAAGAGGGAAACAACCCAGACCGCCAGCUAAGGUCCCAAAGUCAUGGUUAAGUGGGAAACGAAGUGGGAAGGCUCAGACAGCCAGGAUGUUGGCUUAGAAGCAGCCAUCAUUUAAAGAAAGCGUAAUAGCUCACUGGUCGAGUCGGCCCGCGCGGAAGAUGUAACGGGGCUAAACCAUGCACCGAAGCUGCGGCAGCGACACAUAGUGUUGUUGGGUAGGGGAGCGUUCUGUAAGCCUGCGAAGGUGUACUGUGAGGUAUGCUGGAGGUAUCAGAAGUGCGAAUGCUGACAUAAGUAACGAUAAUGCGGGUGAAAAACCCGCACGCCGGAAGACCAAGGGUUCCUGUCCAACGUUAAUCGGGGCAGGGUGAGUCGACCCCUAAGGCGAGGCUGAAAAGCGUAGUCGAUGGGAAACGGGUUAAUAUUCCCGUACUGGUGGUAACUGCGAUGGGGGAACGGAGAAGGCUAGGUUGUCCGGGCGACGGUCGUCCCGGUUCAAGCAGGUAGGCAGAGUGAUUAGGCAAAUCCGGUCACUUAAUGCUGAGAUGUGAUGACGAACCACCAAGGUGGUGAAGCAAUUGAUGCCCCGCUUCCAGGAAAAGCCUCUAAGCUUCAGGUUACCAACAAUCGUACCCCAAACCGACACAGGUGGUCAGGUAGAGAAUACUCAGGCGCUUGAGAGAACUCGGGUGAAGGAACUAGGCAAAAUGGUGCCGUAACUUCGGGAGAAGGCACGCUGGCGGUAGGUAAAGUCCCUCGCGGACGGCGCUGAAGCCAGUCGAAGAUACCAGCUGGCUGCAACUGUUUAUUAAAAACACAGCACUGUGCAAACACGAAAGUGGACGUAUACGGUGUGACGCCUGCCCGGUGCUGGAAGGUUAAUUGAUGGGGUCAGCCGUAAGGCGAAGCUCCUGAUCGAAGCCCCAGUAAACGGCGGCCGUAACUAUAACGGUCCUAAGGUAGCGAAAUUCCUUGUCGGGUAAGUUCCGACCUGCACGAAUGGCGUAAUGAUGGCCAGGCUGUCUCCACCCGAGACUCAGUGAAAUUGAACUCGCUGUGAAGAUGCAGUGUACCCGCGGCAAGACGGAAAGACCCCGUGAACCUUUACUAUAGCUUGACACUGAACAUUGAGCCUUGAUGUGUAGGAUAGGUGGGAGGCUUUGAAGUGUGGACGCCAGUCUGCAUGGAGCCAACCUUGAAAUACCACCCUUUAACGUUUGAUGUUCUAACCUAGGCCCAUAAACUGGGUCGGGGACCGUGUCUGGUGGGUAGUUUGACUGGGGCGGUCUCCUCCUAAAGAGUAACGGAGGAGCACGAAGGUUGGCUAAGCAUGGUCGGACAUCAUGCGGUUAGUGCAAAGGCAUAAGCCAGCUUGACUGCGAGAGUGACGGCUCGAGCAGGUACGAAAGUAGGUCUUAGUGAUCCGGUGGUUCUGAAUGGAAGGGCCAUCGCUCAACGGAUAAAAGGUACUCCGGGGAUAACAGGCUGAUACCGCCCAAGAGUUCAUAUCGACGGCGGUGUUUGGCACCUCGAUGUCGGCUCAUCACAUCCUGGGGCUGAAGUAGGUCCCAAGGGUAUGGCUGUUCGCCAUUUAAAGUGGUACGCGAGCUGGGUUUAGAACGUCGUGAGACAGUUCGGUCCCUAUCUGCCGUGGGCGUUGGAAGAUUGAGAGGGGUUGCUCCUAGUACGAGAGGACCGGAGUGAACGCACCACUGGUGUUCGGGUUGUCAUGCCAAUGGCAUUGCCCGGUAGCUAAGUGCGGAAGAGAUAACCGCUGAAAGCAUCUAAGCGGGAAACUUGCCUCGAGAUGAGUCUUCCCUGUCACUUUAAGUGACCUAAAGGAACGUUUAAGACUAAGACGUUGAUAGGCUGGGUGUGUAAGCGUAGCGAUACGUUGAGCUAACCAGUACUAAUGAACCGUGAGGCUUAACCUG